rnacentral:lncRNA from 1 species
UGGAUUCUUGAUCGCACAUAAGGAAAAGAAAGAACACGACGGUUACUGAGUGAAUUUCUAUAUCACAGAAUCAUCCAAAUUCAAUUCUAACCCGAGUGAUCUCUGUCUAAUCCGAUAAAUCAUUGCGUGUAACCCGCAAAUAGGUUUAUCUGAUAGUUCUCAUACGAUUCAGAGAUUAAUCCAGGUUUUUCACAAACUUUGCAAUUUCAAUUCGGGUUCUAGGUUUGUUAAUUCCUUUGAAAUCACUUGUUGUAGACCAGUUAUACAACAAAGAUAAACCUAUUUGCGGGUUAAAUUUGGUCAUUGGUUGUGAUUUCAAGUUUGAAAAAAAAAAUUGUAUAGUGAAUAUCUGUUCUGCAAUUUGGUUGUUGAAUUCUUAAUUCUAAAGUGUCGUACACUGUUGUUACUGGGACUUGACUUUGGUUCGUAACCCGAAUUUUGAAAUUGUGGUGGAUUCUUAGGAUUAACUGUGGAAAAUCACAUUGUAGUUUAGUUAUAAUUAUUUGUUUAAAUCAAAAGAAACUCAAUUAUAAAUGCAUGGUGGAGGAUGAACCUGGUCAAAAUUAAGAAUUAGAUUUUGGGAUUGAGUCUACUGUUUUACAAAUUUUGAUAGUGAAUUUUGGUUGCAAAAUUGGAUUUGGAAUUUACGAAUUCACGGUUGUAAUUGAGAAAAAAAAAAGGUUGAAUUUAUGAUCUUGGAAUUUAUGGAUUAAAUUAUUGGAAUUCCGGAACUAUUAAUAGUAUUGGCUUUACUUUCUUGAAAUCUGAUUCAUCAUUGUUUUAUCAUCAACAAAUUCAAAGCCAAUUGUUGGUUCAUAUAGCAUCUGGGGAAUAGAUUUUUACAAUUCUAGAAAAGUGUAUGGGAAAUAAAAGAAAGUUUGACCGGGGUGAUAAUGAUUCCAACAAGAAACCGAAAGGGGGCUGUUGGAGAUGUGGCAAACCGGGUCAUUUCAAGAAAGAUUGUCGUGUGAAGGUUACGGGUGGAAACAAAGCUAAUAUAGCGAGUCCAAGUGGGUCAAAAGAUCCAAAUGCUUCACAAGAUGACAUGCUUGCAUGGUGGGUAGACUCGGGUGCUACGAGUCACGUGUGCAAGGAUCUCAAAUGGUUUGAGGAAUUCGAACCAAUUGAAGAUGGAUCUGUACUAAGGAUGGGAAAUGUUGCAACUGAGCCCAUUAAAGGAGUUGGAAAAGUUAGACUUGUAUUCACGUCUGGAAAACACUUGUUGUUAGAUAAUGUGUUGUAUGUACCGGGGAUUCGAAAGAAUCUCUUAUCUGGAAUUGUAUUAAACAAUUGUGGUUAUAAACAGGUCAUU